AAGUUAGUAACUGGGAUUUCCGCCUUCACACGGCGGGGGUCACAGGUUCAAUCCCUGUCGCACCCACCA
rnacentral:tRNA from 1 species